rnacentral:rRNA from 1 species
UACGGAGGGUGCGAGCGUUGUUCGGAAUCACUGGGCGUAAAGCGCGCGUAGGCGGUCUGCUAAGUCUGAUGUGAAAGCCCGGGGCUCACCCCCGGAAGUGCAUUGGAAACUGACAGACUGGAGUCCCGGAGAGGAAGGUGGAAUUCCUGGUGUAGCGGUGAAAUGCGUAGAUAUCAGGAGGAACACCGGUGGCGAAGGCGGCCUUCUGGACGGUGACUGACGCUGAGGCGCGAAAGCGUGGGGAGCAAAC